UUGACUGCAGUAUUGAGUUGCUUCCAAAUAUGCUUCAUUUUCAUUCCAAAUGUACUUACCUUCACCAAUAGUACGUUAAAUACCACAACCACCAACCUACACAUAAAAUGACACAAAAUAAGUAAAAAAAAUGCACAUGUACACAAGAUUAUAGCAAUGAAUAAGCAUGAAUUAGAUAUGAAAUCGUGUACAUAAAAUACACUUAUCAAAAUCCCCCAAACUUAAAAGUGUGCUAGUCCUCGAGCACAAGACUACUAUAUACAAUGUGAAGAUAUGACUACGAAUUUACUUAUAUGCUAUCAAAUCCAACAAUAUCGCAGAAUCAAAAGUAUCUUAACAGCCUCAGCGAAAAUAAGCAACUAUACAAUAUCAACCAUUAAAAACCAUUCUACAAAUCACUUUAAUCCUCGAAUCUCAAGCCAUUAUCACUAGUAUAGUGUGUGUGUGUGUAACAUCCAUGAUAACCGAUACUAAUUCAAAUUCAAUACUUAACUAGUCUCUUAGAAGGAAUCAUGCCACACAACCUUCAAAACUUCAAAAAUAACUAGUUCCAACUAAAAAUCAAACAUUCACAAAUCACCAGGGUCACGCGGGGUACUUAUGCUUUAUUUUCCAUUCACGGGGGCUUUUUGCUCUUAUUUCCCGUUUUAUUCAUUUUUUAAUAUACACAUAGCUAUGCAAAGUCUUAUUCCCUUAGGCUUUUCAAUGAUACCUUAACGAGCUUUCAACCAACGACUCCCACACCAUUAAGACCUUAGGGUGCUAGGUGUAAAGUCAAUCCCCUCGGGCUUAAUUGCUCAAGUAACAAAGGCCACAAAACUAGACAAACACGCUACAUUGUUUAUUCAUAUAUAUAUAUAUAUAUAUAUAUAUAUUAUAAGCUUAUAUACCCCACAUACAUCCCCCAACUUAAGUUCUUGCCAAACUUUAGCCUUUACCAGCCAUCCUUGUCAUGUUAUCAUGAGCUCUAGCAUUAUCCUUUAGAGACCAUUUAAGUACCGGUUUGAACUUAACCAAUCAACACAGAUGUUUAUUAAGCGUGCUAUCCUUUAUACCAGUUUCAAACAAACUCAAGAUUCAAUUCAUAAACUAUCAUUGUGUAAUAGUUCUAAUACUCGAUACUGUAUUUACUACUUACUUGACA
rnacentral:lncRNA from 1 species